rnacentral:rRNA from 1 species
GACGAACGCUGGCGGCGUGCCUAAUACAUGCAAGUUGAGCGCUGAAGGUUGGUACUUGUACCAACUGGAUGAGCAGCGAACGGGUGAGUAACGCGUGGGUAAUCUGCCUUUGAGCGGGGGACAACAUUUGGAAACGAAUGCUAAUACCGCAUAAAAACUUUAAACACAAGUUUUAAGUUUGAAAGAUGCAAUUGCAUCACUCAAAGAUGAUCCCGCGUUGUAUUAGCUAGUUGGUGAGGUAAAGGCUCACCAAGGCGAUGAUACAUAGCCGACCUGAGAGGGGGAUCGGCCACAUUGGGACUGAGACACGGCCCAAACUCCUACGGGAGGCAGCAGGAGGGAAUCUUCGGCAAUGGACGAAAGGCUGACCGAGCAACGCCGCGUGAGGGAAGAAGGUUUUCGGAUCGGAAAAAUCUGUUGGUAGAGAAGAAAGUUGGUGGGAGUGGAAAGCUCAUCAAGUGACGGUAACUACCCAGAAAGGGACGGCUAACUACGUG